rnacentral:rRNA from 1 species
GUCCUGACUAAAUCUCGUGCCAGCAGUCGCGGUAAGACGAGGCGGGCAAGCGUUAACCAAUAUUAAUAGGUCUAAAGGGUUAGUAGGCUGUUUAAUUAACUAUAUAUUUAAUUAUAGUAUUAUUAGACUAGAGUAAUAUAUAAGGUAUAAGUAUUUAUUAUGUAAAGGUCGAAUUUAGAUAUAGUAAAGACUUUCUUUUCUUAAAUAAUUUAUCUAUAUAUUCACUGACGCUGAGGAACUAAAGCUAGGGGAGCAAAGCGGAUUUGAUACCCGUGUAGUCCUAGCCCUAAACUAUGAGUGCUAUUUACUAUAAGUGAAGACGUUAAGCAUUCCACCUGGGGAGUAUAUUCGCAAGGAUGAAAUCCAAGACAUUAGGCGGUUGUAGGCAUCAGCAGUUAAGCAU